UGGAUGAUGUGGAUUAAUUCGAUGCAACGCGAAAACCUUACCUACCCUUGACAUGUCAGGAACCCUGCUGAGAGGUGGGGGUGCCCGAAAGGGAACCUGAACACAGGUGCUGCAUGGCUGUCGUCAGCUCGUGUCGUGAGAUGUUGGGUUAAGUCCCGCAACGAGCGCAACCCUUGUCAUUAGUUGCUACGAAAGGGCACUCUAAUGAGACUGCCGGUGACAAACCGGAGGAAGGUGGGGAUGACGUCAAGUCCUCAUGGCCCUUAUGGGUAGGGCUUCACACGUCAUACAAUGGUGCAUACAGAGGGCUGCCAACCCGCGAGGGGGAGCUAAUCCCAGAAAGUGCAUCGUAGUCCGGAUUGUAGUCUGCAACUCGACUACGUGAAGUUGGAAUCGCUAGUAAUCGCGGAUCAGCAUGUCGCGGUGAAUACGUUCCCGGGUCUU
rnacentral:rRNA from 1 species